rnacentral:rRNA from 1 species
GGGAAAGAAGACCCUGUUGAGCUUUACUCUAGUUCGAGUUUGUGAAGUGGCUUUGGGGGUGUAGCAUAAGGGGGAGCUCCGGCGCCAUUGAAAUACCCCUACCCCGAACGCUACUUUACUUAUUUAAUUGGUUAGAAAUGCCGGCUGUGCUCUGUGGCGUGUAAGCGUUUACAUCUCAGUCUUUGGUUUACCUUCUAGAAUUAAGAUGAGUAUCACACGUCUGAGGGCUCAUGGGUCAU